rnacentral:rRNA from 1 species
AUUGAACGCUGGCGGCAGGCCUAACACAUGCAAGUCGAACGAGUGGCGGACGGGUGAGUAAUGUCUGGGAAACUGCCUGAUGGAGGGGGAUAACUACUGGAAACGGUAGCUAAUACCGCAUACCAUCAGAUGUGCCCAGAUGGGAUUAGCUAGUUGGUGGGGUAACGGCUCACCAAGGCGACGAUCCCUAGCUGGUCUGCGAGGAUGACCAGCCACACUGGAACGGAGGCACGGUCCGGAGUCCUACGAGCGGCAGCAGUGGUGAAUAAUGCACAAUGGGCGCAAGGCUGAUACAGACAUGCCGCGUGUAUGAAGAAGGCCUUCGGGUUGUAAAGUACUUUCAGCGGGGAGGCGUUAGCCGCAGAAGAAGCACCGGCUAACUCCGUGCCAGCAGACGCGGUAAUUC